rnacentral:rRNA from 1 species
GACGAACGCUGGCGGCGUGCUUAACACAUGCAAGUCGAACGGAAAGGCCCUGCUUUUGUGGGGUUCUCGAGUGGCGCACGGGUGAGUAACACGUGAGUAACCUGCCCUUGACUUUGGGAUAACUUCAGGAAACUGCGGCUAAUACCGGAUAGGAGCUCCUGCUGCAUGGGGGGCGUUGGAAAGUUUCGGCGGUUGGGGAUGGACUCGCGGCUUAUCAGCUUGUUGGUGGAGUAGUUGCUUACGAAGGCUUUGACGGGUAGGCGACAUGGGAGGGUGAACGGGGACAAGGGGACUGAGGGAGGCAGCAGACGGGUACGGGAGGCAGUGGGGGGGAAUAUUGCACAACGGGGGGAAGCGUGAGGCAGAAGUCUUGGGAUCGGGAUGCCGUCUUACGGGGGAUGAACCGCUGUGGCCGGUGACGAAGCGGGAGUGACGGUAAUGGGUCAAGAAGCAACGGCUAACUACGUG